rnacentral:rRNA from 1 species
GAUGAACGCUGGCGGCGUGCCUAAUACAUGCCAGUCGAGCGAACAGACGAGGAGCUUGCUCCUCUGACGUUAGCGGCGGACGGGUGAGUAACACGUGGAUAACCUACCUAUAAGACUGGUAUAAUUUCGGGAAACCGGAGCUAAUACCGGAUAAUAUAUUGAACCGCAUGGUUCAAUAGUGAAAGACGGUUUUGCUGUCACUUCUAGAUGGAUCUGCGCCGCAUUAGCUAGUUGGUAAGGUAACGGCUUUCCAAGGCAACGAUGCGUAGCCGAACUGAGAGGGUGAUCGGCCACACUGGAACUGAACCGCGGUCCAGGCUCCUACGGGAGGCAGCAGUAGAGAAUCUUCCGCAGUGGGCGAAAGCCUGACGGAGCAACGCCGCGUGAGUGAUGAAGGUCUUCGGAUCGUAAAGCUCUGUUAUUAGGGAAGAACAAAUGUGUAAGUAACUAUGCACGUCGUGACGGUACCUAAUCAGAAAGCCACGGCUAACUACGUG